GAUGAACGCUAGCGGCAGGCCUAACACAUGCAAGUCGAGGGGCAUCGGGAUUGAAGCUUGCUUCAAUUGCCGGCGACCGGCGCACGGGUGCGUAACGCGUAUGUAACCUACCUAUAACAGGGGCAUAACACUGAGAAAUUGGUACUAAUUCCCCAUAAUAUUCGGAGAGGCAUCUCUCCGGGUUGAAAACUCCGGUGGUUAUAGAUGGACAUGCGUUGUAUUAGCUAGUUGGUGAGGUAACGGCUCACCAAGGCAACGAUACAUAGGGGGACUGAGAGGUUAACCCCCCACACUGGUACUGAGACACGGACCAGACUCCUACGGGAGGCAGCAGUGAGGAAUAUUGGUCAAUGGACGCAAGUCUGAACCAGCCAUGCCGCGUGCAGGAAGACGGCUCUAUGAGUUGUAAACUGCUUUUGUACGAGGGUAAACUCACCUACGUGUAGGUGACGAAAGU
rnacentral:rRNA from 1 species